UACAGAGGGUGCAAGCGUUGUUCGGAAUUAUUGGGCGUAAAGCGCGUGUAGGCGGUCCGGUAAGUCCGCUGUGAAAGUCGGGGGCUCAACCCUCGGAUGCCGGUGGAUACUGUCGGGCUUGAGUACGGAAGAGGCGAGUGGAAUUCCUGGUGUAGCGGUGAAAUGCGCAGAUAUCAGGAGGAACACCAAUUGCGAAGGCAGCUCGCUGGGACGUUACUGACGCUGAGACGCGAAAGCGUGGGGAGCAAACAGG
rnacentral:rRNA from 1 species